CGAGCGAGCUUGCCUAGAUGAUUUUAGUGCUUGCACUAAAUGAAACUAGAUACAAGCGAGCGGCGGACGGGUGAGUAACACGUGGGUAACCUGCCCAAGAGACUGGGAUAACACCUGGAAACAGAUGCUAAUACCGGAUAACAACACUAGACGCAUGUCUAGAGUUUGAAAGAUGGUUCUGCUAUCACUCUUGGAUGGACCUGCGGUGCAUUAGCUAGUUGGUAAGGUAACGGCUUACCAAGGCAAUGAUGCAUAGCCGAGUUGAGAGACUGAUCGGCCACAUUGGGACUGAGACACGGCCCAAACUCCUACGGGAGGCAGCAGUAGGGAAUCUUCCACAAUGGACGAAAGUCUGAUGGAGCAACGCCGCGUGAGUGAAGAAGGGUUUCGGCUCGUAAAGCUCUGUUGGUAGUGAAGAAAGAUAGAGGUAGUAACUGGCCUUUAUUUGACGGUAAUUACUUAGAAAGUCACGGCUAACUACGUGCCAGCAGCCGCGGUAAUACGUAGGUGGCAAGCGUUGUCCGGAUUUAUUGGGCGUAAAGCGAGUGCAGGCGGUUCAAUAAGUCUGAUGUGAAAGCCUUCGGCUCAACCGGAGAAUUGCAUCAGAAACUGUUGAACUUGAGUGCAGAAGAGGAGAGUGGAACUCCAUGUGUAGCGGUGGAAUGCGUAGAUAUAUGGAAGAACACCAGUGGCGAAGGCGGCUCUCUGGUCUGCAACUGACGCUGAGGCUCGAAAGCAUGGGUAGCGAACAGGAUUAGAUACCCUGGUAGUCCAUGCCGUAAAC
rnacentral:rRNA from 1 species